rnacentral:rRNA from 1 species
AGGGUUUGGUCCUGGCUCAGAACGAACGCUGGCGGCGUGGCUAAAGCAUGCAAGUCGCACGAUUAAGACCCCCUUCGGGGGGUGUAUAAAGUGGCGAAAGGGCGAGUAAUGCAUGGGUAACGUACCCCUCGCACAGGGAUAGCUGCGGGAAACUGCAGGUAAUACCUGAUGAGACCACAGUGUCAUAUGGCACAGCGGUCAAAGGGUGGGGAUCCUUCGGGACCUACUGGCGAGUGAGCGGCCCAUGUCCUAUCAGCUUGUUGGUGAGGUAACGGCUCACCAAGGCAUCGACGGGUACCGGGACUGAGAGGUUGACCCGGCGCAUUGGGACUGAGACACUGCCCAGACUCCUACGGGAGGCUGCAGCACCGAAUAUUCCGCAAUGGGCGCAAGCCUGACGGAGCGACGCCGCGUGUGGGAUGAAGCCCUUCGGGGUGUAAACCACUGUCAGGGGUUAGCAAGCAAUGGAGGCCAAUACCCUCCGGCGUUGAGCAGCCCCAGAGGAAGCCACGGCUAACUUCGUGCCAGCAGCCGCGGUAAGACGAAGGUGGCAAGCGUUGUUCGGAAUCACUGGGCUUAAAGAGCACGUAGGCGGUCCGUCAAGCAUCUUGUGAAAUCCCUCAGCUCAACCGAGGAAUGGCUGGGUGAACUGGCGGACUUGAGGCAGGUAGGGGCACGUGGAACUCUUGGUGGAGCGGUGGAAUGCGUAGAUAUCAAGAGGAACGCCGGUGGCGAAAGCGGCGUGCUGGGCCUGUCCUGACGCUGAGGUGCGAAAGCCAGGGGAGCGAACGGGAUUAGAUACCCCGGUAGUCCUGGCCCUAAACGAUGUCCACUAGGUCGGAGGCUCUCUGACGAUUUUCCGGCCGAAACAAAAGCGUUAAGUGGACCGCCUGGGGAGUACGGUCGCAGGGCUAAAACUCAAAGGAAUUGACGGGGGCUCACACAAGCGGUGGAGCAUGUUGCUUAAUUCGAUGCAACGCGAAGAACCUUAUCCUGGGCUUGACAUACUUGGAUACCCAUCUGGAAACAGAGUAGGUUGCUCUUCGGAGUGAAACUUGUACAGGUGCUGCAUGGCUGUCGUCAGCUCGUGUCGUGAGAUGUUGGGUUAAGUCCCGUAACGAGCGAAACCCUUGUCGCUAGUUGCCAGCGCGUAAUGGCGGGGACUCUAGCGAGACUGCCGGUGUUAAACCGGAGGAAGGUGGGGAUGACGUCAAGUCCUCAUGGCCUUUAUGCCCAGGGCUGCAAACGUGCUACAAUGGUCGAAACAAACCGAAGCGAAGCCGCGAGGUGAGCAAAUCGGACAAAGUCGGCCUCAGUUCGGAUUGGAGUCUGCAACUCGACUCCAUGAAGUCGGAAUCGCUAGUAAUCGUGUAUCAGCGCGACACGGUGAAUGUGUCC